GAUGAACGCUAGCGGCAGGCUUAAUACAUGCAAGUCGAGGGGCAGCAUAAGUAGCAAUACUUGAUGGCGACCGGCAAACGGGUGCGGAACACGUACGCAACCUUCCUUUAAGUGGGGAAUAGCCCGGGGAAACCCGGAUUAAUACCCCGUAAUAUUAUGAUGUGGCAUCACAUUAUAAUUAUAGAUUCAUCGCUUAAAGAUGGGCGUGCGCCUGAUUAGGUAGUUGGCGGAGUAAUAGCCCACCAAGCCUGCGAUCAGUAACUGGUGUGAGAGCACGACCAGUCACACGGGCACUGAGACACGGGCCCGACUCCUACGGGAGGCAGCAGUAAGGAAUAUUGGUCAAUGGACGCAAGUCUGAACCAGCCAUGCCGCGUGGAGGAUGAAGGUCCUCU
rnacentral:rRNA from 1 species